rnacentral:misc_RNA from 1 species
CCGUCACUCCACCACCAACGCCGUCACUCCACCACCGGUGCCAUCACCACCGCCAACGCUUCGCCGUCGUUACCAACGUCGAGACGCUAUGUGUGAUCGUUGCUGUCGUUUUAGUUAUUAACAGACCGUACGAUCAUUCGUACUGUAGUGAAGCGGGAGAAAAAGAGUGAAGAGGAAGGAAGAGAGAGAGAGAGAGAGAGUAGUGAGAUAGGAAUUGUAAUUGAGCAGGAAGAGAAGAGAAAAUUGUCGUGGAUGUGUGCAAGGAAGAGAAAGAAAUAAAAGUGGAAAAACGAAUAAACGUGAAAAAUAGAAGGAAGAAUCGAGCGUGGGGAAAAGGGAAGAAAAAGCGAAAGAGAGAGAAAGUAUAUUACGAGCCAUGCUGCACAGUCUCGCCUGAACAAAGGAAGGCUCCCUCAACUGAGGGUCGUUUCCGAUCGACGAACCGUCGGUCCCCCUUCGUUUGCCUUCGGCGCGCCUCGUGUGGCAUAAGUGUCUAGCGAUCGGCCAGUCACGUAGCAGCGGCCGAGCCGUGAGGAACAAAGAACGGAAGGAUAAGAGUAGAACUUCAAAGAGCAAAAAAGAAGCGUAUAUCCAUGAACCGGCUUGCCGGUAAAAAUAAAGAAAAAAAGGCAGGUAACAGUAAUAUUGAGCUUGUGUCAUAGAAAUUCUCAUUGAUCGAGAUUUUUGCUUUUAAGUGGAGAAAGUGAAGAAAAUUUCCUGUUCCUAUCGAGAUAUUUUAUCAAAAUCAGUUCGAUUUGUGUACGGUACAUUAAAAGUUGUUUCCGCGUAUCAUUUCGCAAGUUUUAUCGUGUAGAUACGUUAACGCCAAAAUCGAUGCAAGUGUAAAAUAGGCGUCCUUUACGCGUGUGUGUUUUCCAAGGUGCUUUCGUUUCGUGUUUUCAAGCCACUUUGAGUGAAUUCAAAUAAGUUUUGAACAACGGUGAACAGAAGUUGGAUUCUUAAUUGGCAGUUUUGUGAGUGCGUUCUCGACAUACCGGCGACCUAACCUAACGAUUACUUCUAAGGGGCACGCAAUUACCAAUGAUAAUUGUUACAUGUAUACGUUAAGAAAUCGAUCGUUCAUACGUGCCGUUAAAAUGUGCUAAAUGGUGAAACAGAGAAGCUGAAUAAAGACAAACGUGACUACAAUAUAAAUCUUUAUCUACUAUUAUCACAAAGAUUUUCAUUUGCCUUUAUUUUUGCUACUCGAUUCGCUUUCGUGUGACAUGUGCACAAAUAUACAGUGCACACCUGAAUUUGAAGGAUUUUUUGACUGAAAAGCAGAAUUCCUCCGUUCGGCUACGUACGGAUUAUCCUCGUAUUUACGGUGAGUCCUGUACUAUUAUUGAGAGGUGCUGCUACGGAAACGAUAAGUCUGCGAGCCCAUUGCGAAGUUUACAAAGGUUACGCAUUGAGGGAUACGUGCAUGGAAUAUCACGUGGUCGCAACAACACGCCUCACUCUCGUGGGGCUACCAUCAAUUAUUCGAUGCGCGCUGCCUUCUGCGGCUGCAUUUCUCGCCGUGAACACUUCUUACUCUCCUUAAUCACCGUAGAGCAGGUCAGUGCACCUGACGAACAUUUUACGGCCUUGCUCGACAUGCCGUUUAAUCGCUGCUGCUUUACGCACACCUCCAUAAGCGAGGGAAUCGAUUAAUCUCGUAACUAACGCUAUCAGCUAUCCUAAGUCCAGCAAAGGCGAAACCAAAAUAUCGCUUUCGAUGCUAUGGCGUAAAUUAAUAAAUCCAUGAAUAUUUCUUCGUUUUCGAUCCCACUUCUUUC